rnacentral:rRNA from 1 species
AGUGAACGCUGGCGGUAGGCCUAACACAUGCAAGUCGAACGGCAGCACAGUAAGAGCUUGCUCUUACGGGUGGCGAGUGGCGGACGAGUGAGGAAUACAUCGGCAUCUACUUUUUCGUGGGGGAUAAUGUAGGGAAACUUACGCUAAUACCGCAUACGACCUACGGGUGAAAGCAGGGGAUCUUCGGACCUUGCGCGAUUGAAUGAGCCGAUGUCGGAUUAGCUAGUUGGCGGGGUAAAGGCCCACCAAGGCGACGAUCCGUAGCUGGUCUGAGAGGAUGAUCAGCCACACUGGAACUGAGACACGGUCCAGACUCCUACGGGAGGCGGCAGUGGGGAAUAUUGCACAAUGGGCGCAAGCCUGAUCCAGCCAUGCCGCGUGAGUGAAGAAGGCCUUCGGGUUGUAAAGCCCUUUUGUUGGGAAAGAACAGCAGCAGGCGAAUACCCCGCUGUUCUGACGGUACCCAAAGAAUAAGCCCCGGCUAACUUCGUG